rnacentral:tRNA from 1 species
GCCGCUCGGGUCGUCGAGGGACGACGCCUUCUUGGUACGAAGGAGAGGACGGGUUCGACUCCCGUGAGCGGCUCCA